CAUAUAGAAGGGUUACAAAGUUAAAUAUUUCCAUGUUUUCCAUUAUAGCUUCUGGUAGUAACUAGAAUUUACCUAAGCCCAGAAGAAUAAAAAGUCACCUGUGUUUUAUUCUGGCUUUAUACUGUUUUCAUUUGUUCUGUUAUAAUUUUUGUAUAAGAAAUCCAGGAAUCUAUUUUGCUUCUGAAGUGGCUGUCCAAUCAGGAUUUACCUUUUACCACUUGGUUGGAGAGGUGGGGGAAGAAGAGACUGGAGGAAAUAGAAGCUGAAGACAGGACUAGAUGUGUCUCCCUCCCCAGCCUCCUUUCUCUGCAGAGGUGGAGGAAUCACGGAAGCUAUCGUGGCUUUAGGUGUUGACUUUUGUCAAUGUUUGCUGAAGCCAGGAGUGAAAUUGAGACAAUAUUCCGAUUCUUGGAACCUGAGUUAGCGUUAAAGGGGAUGACAAACAGGCUGUUGUUAGGAGGUAGUUCCAUGUAAUAGGAAGAGUUUCCACCUCCCUCAGAGGCUGCCUUUCUCGUUUCUCCAAAUGAUUUCGCGGUUGGCCUAAGUUUCCUUUACUUCUCCCUACGAUGGUGUAACAUUAGCUUGAAUGCUGACGCUAUGUGGUGGUGAGCGGCAGUGGGUGUAUCUUGCCCAUAAACCCUUGGAGGACAGUGGAGGACAGGGACUGACCAACUCACCCAAGGGUCCUCUGCAUGCACAUGGUCCCUGCACAUGGCACAUAGUUGGUGCUCAGAAGGCCUUUGCUGGAACAAAGGAAAACACAAGCACCCACAGCAGUGAUGGCUGAUUUUGUCGGGUCUGCAAUGGAGAUUAGUCACCACUAGGUGUCAUGGUGAGUCAAGAAACAUUUUGGCUCAUGGUUACAAAUUAUGCGUUUACUGUAUUCAUCUUCGUGCAUGCACACAUGCAAUGUUUUACAAAGCAUCUGUUGAGUGUCUACGGCACAACACACACGUUCUGGUGCUGGAGAUCCUGCCCUGGCUGAGCUUCUGGACCUGGUGGGGAGAAAUCCACAAUGAGUACUGAGACGACCGGCAAAAGCCCGGUGAAGGCACCUAGGAGUAGGGCCUGCUUACCCUGGAGGAGUCGGGAGCAGCUUCCACAGCAAGGAGGCUUCUAAGGCCAAGCUGUCACGCAAGGAAGCGGCCACGCGAGGGCGUGAUCUACCAGGGAUCCGUGCCUGGGUCUGUGCAUCCUCCCUUCUGCAGCCAGAAGAAACCCCUUUGAAGAAGCGGGUGGAUGACAAGCUUGCAAUACACCGGGGAGGGGAGCAGCAUCCCCAGAGGCUUUUCCAUGCACCCUCUUUCUGAGCAGCUCUGGAUACCCUGGGUCAGCUCCCACACAAAUUGCUCAUAACUCAUUAGUCACCCUUAAAAUUAAUCUCUCCAACAGUGACAUCCUGUACUCAGGCGGUGUCUUAACCCCCUGAAAAUGCCUUCGUGGCAAUGUCCCUGUGGCAUAAGCAUGCCCCAUUUUGCAAGGGAGGGAAUUAAAUUUCAGAGAAGUUAAGCGAUCCAGGGAAUUUCAGUAGCAGAAAUAAGUCUAGAACGGAGAUUACCCAACUUGACUCAAAUGGCAAAACGUUUGUCAUGGGGAAUUUAAUUCUUUAAACCUUUUCGUUGCUUUAUCUCCUUGCUUGGAAUAUUCACCAUCCAUGUGCCCACUAAAUCCUGACUGCUCUGAGACCACGUUCUUCAUGCCAGUCUUAUCUCCCGUGCCUCCUGGGCUUAGGAAUCUGAUGAGCCUGAGUGUGGAUCUGGGUCCUGCCCCCUGACUGUGUGGGGUUACCCGGAUUCCCUGAACUUCGGUCUCCCCUCAUGGAAAAUGGGGAUGGUAUGCCUUCCUACAUGAAGGCGAUCUCAAUAUAGUUACCAGCUGGCGACUAUACAGGCAGUUGUCAGUCAGCCUGUGGGACACAUGGGUGGCUGGAUCAGUCUGGCAGGAGCAGGUGGAGAGAAUUACCAGGUGAUAUGCUGACCCCACGAGGACCAAGGACCGCACUGCUCAAGCCUUCACCUGCCACUUGGCAUUAAAGCCUCUUUACCCUUGUCUCCCCAACCGGACAAUACAUUCCUAGGUGGGAGGGCCCCUGCCUUUCACUGCUGCUGUCUUGGAGCUAGGCAAUGUAAUUUCAUGUAUCAGAUGACGGCUGUCAAGCACUAAGUUUUGUUUGUUCCUUCUGCUGUCUCCUAAGUUCACAAAUAAACAACAGCCCUGAGAAUCCUCAUGGCGGCUUUGGAACCUCGAGCAUCAUAAAGUAUAUUCGGGAGUCCGGAGGGCCUUGGCUCCCUUGUGCUGGCAGGGCAGAAUGAAGCUGGGUGCAUUGUGUGUGCCCCACCAGCACAAGCGCUAGCAUUUGUCUCAAUGCCGGGGAUUCCUGGAGCACCCGCUGUUCUCUAGACGCCCCCUUUACC
rnacentral:lncRNA from 10 species